CUCAGCAAACCCGAGGAGUGGUACACCCAUGCAGACAGAGCCUGGCUCCCAUCAAUGUCCGUGGGUCCUUGGGAAGCUGGAUCUGAUGUCCCUCGGGAUGUUCCCGCACCAGGUGAGACUCGGCAUUGAGGCUGCCGAGCCUGCUGGCACAAAGGAAAAGAUUUGCAUUCCCACCUCUUGCUCUGGCCACAAGUAAAUAACUGAAGCCCAGGGUGGGGAGGGUGUCUGCCUCCGACGCCCUGCCUCCUGCCACCUGAUAUCCCAGCUAUUUAGUCCUUCCCUCCGCUUCCCAGCCAGCAGCAGGCAAGAGCCAGCAAGCCCCAGCUGGAAAGGGAACAGCCUGGCCGAGACAGAGUUCAUCCCUUACAGAGGAGCUGCUCAAGGCUGUGGGCAGCUGGAGCUGCCUGUGUUCUGCCAGCCUCCCACGAGGGUCCGGAGCACAGGGAGCCUGUCCCAGGGUGAAAGGCUUUACCUUUCCUUGGCCAUACCUACAGUACCACUGGAUGUCACUGUUGUUUCAUAAAAGACAAAAAUCUUACUGUGAUCUUUUUGAUAGAUGAUGUUUAGUACAUAAAUAUAUAUAUAUAUAUGUAU